rnacentral:rRNA from 1 species
GAUGAACGCUGGCGGCGUGCAUAACACAUUCAAGUCGAACGGACGAGGCCCUUCGGGGCCGAGUUAGUGGCGGACGGGUGAGUAACGCGUGAGCAACCUGCCCUUGUGUGGGGGACAACAGUUGGAAACGACUGCUAAUACCGCAUAACGCAUCGGAAUCGCAUGUUUCUGAUGCCAAAGAUUUAUUGCGCAAGGAUGGGCUCGCGUCCGAUUAGAUAGUUGGUGAGGUAACGGCUCACCAAGUCGACGAUCGGUAGCCGGACUGAGAGGUUGAACGGCCACAUUGGGACUGAGACACGGCCCAAACUCCUACGGGAGGCAGCAGUGGGGAAUAUUGCACAAUGGGCGAAAGCCUGAUGCAGCAACGCCGCGUGAGUGAAGAAGUAUUUCGGUAUGUAAAGCUCUAUCAGCAGGGAAGAAAAUGACGGUACCUGACUAAGAAGCCCCGGCUAACUACGUG